rnacentral:rRNA from 1 species
AUAAGUCGAGCGAGCAAGAAGGAAGCGCUCAAAAAGAAAGCUGUACCUCCGGUGUCCGCGUUGUAAUCUCGAGACGUGUUUUCCGCGUGGCGCUAUGGACAAGUUCCAUGGAACAGGACAUCGUAGAGGGUGAAAAUCCCGUACUUGCCAUGGAUGUACCAUGCUUUGUGAUACACGCUCUAAGAGUCGAGUUGUUUGGGAUUGCCGCUCAAAAUGGGUGGUAGACUCCAUCUAAAGCUAAAUAUCGGGGAGAGACCGAUAGCGAACAAGUACCGUGAGGGAAAGAUGAAAAGCACUUUGGAAAGAGAGUUAAAAGUACGUGAAAUUGUCGAAAUGGAAGCGCUUGAAGUCAGCCAUGCUGCUUGAGACUCACCCUGCUUUUGAUUGAUGUAUUCUCUAGCACAACACCACUGCGKUGUGAGUMGUCGGAGAAGGGAGGGAAAAUGUGGCCUCCUCGUAUGUGUUAUAGGCKUGUACGGGAUACGACGAUUUGGACACCGGAACACGCAGUGCCUCUGGCGGGUCUUCUUUACCUUCUUCUUAGG